rnacentral:rRNA from 1 species
AGCGGGACAUGUGAAGUAGCAAUAUUUUGCAUGUUCAGCGGCGCAAGGGUGCGUAACACGUGGGCAAUUUGCCAUGAAGUUUGGAAUAAUCCCGCGAGAGCGGGACUAAUACCGGAUGUGGAAGAUGGGAGGCAUCUCCUGAAUUCUAAAGUUGGGGACCGUAAGGCCUGACGCUUCAUGAUAAGCCCGCGGCCUAUCAGCUAGUUGGUGAGGUAACGGCUCACCAAGGCUAAGACGGGUAGCUGGUCUGAGAGGACGACCAGCCACACUGGAACUGAGACACGGUCCAGACACCUACGGGUGGCAGCAGUCGAGAAUUUUUCACAAUGGGCGAAAGCCUGAUGGAGCGACGCCGCGUGGGGGAUGAAUGGCUUCGGCCCGUAAACCCCUGUCAUUUGCGAACAAACCUUACCUAUGAAUAGUGGGUGAGCUGAUUGUAGCGGAAGAGGAAGGGACGGCUAACUCUGUGCCAGCAGCCGCGGUAAUACAGAGGUCCCGAGCGUUGUUCGGAUUCACUGGGCGUAAAGGGUGCGUAGGUGGUGAGGUAAGUCGGAUGUGAAAUCUCCAGGCUCAACCUGGAAACGGCAUUGGAAACUACCUUGCUUGAGGGUUUGAGGGGGGACUGGAAUUCUCGGUGUAGCAGUGAAAUGCGUAGAUAUCGAGAGGAACACCGGUGGCGAAGGCGAGUCCCUGGAAAACACCUGACACUGAGGCACGAAAGCUAGGGGAGCAAACAGGAUUAGAUACCCUGGUAGUCCUAGCCCUAAACGGUGCUUGCUUGCUGUA